UGGGGAAUAUUGCACAAUGGGCGCAAGCCUGAUGCAGCGACGCCGCGUGAGGGAUGACGGCCUUCGGGUUGUAAACCUCUUUCAGUACCGACGAAGCGCGAGUGACGGUAGGUACAGAAGAAGCACCGGCCAACUACGUGCCAGCAGCCGCGGUAAAUCACUAGUGAAUUCGCGGCC
rnacentral:rRNA from 1 species